GAUGAACGCUGGCGGCGUGCCUAAUACAUGCAAGUCGAGCGAACGGACGAGAAGCUUGCUUCUCUGAUGUUAGCGGCGGACGGGUAAGUAACACGUGGAUAACCUACCUAUAAGACUGGGAUAACUUCGGGAAACCGGAGCUAAUACCGGAUAAUAUUUUGAACCGCAUGGUUCAAAAGUGAAAGACGGUCUUGCUGUCACUUAUAGAUGGAUCCGCGCUGCAUUAGCUAGUUGGUAAGGUAACGGCUUACCAAGGCAACGAUGCAUAGCCGACCUGAGAGGGUGAUCGGCCACACUGGAACUGGGACACGGUCCAGACGCCUACGGGAGGCAGCAGUAGGGAAUCUUCCGCAAUGGGCGAAAGCCUGACGGAGCAACGCCGCGUGAGUGAUGAAGGUCUUCGGAUCGUAAAACUCUGUUAUUAGGGAAGAACAUAUGUGUAAGUAACUGUGCACAUCUUGACGGUACCUAAUCAGAAAGCCACGGCUAACUACGUG
rnacentral:rRNA from 1 species